CCUACGGGUGGCAGCAGUGAGGAAUAUUGGUCAAUGGCCGAGAGGCUGAACCAGCCAAGUCGCGUGAGGGAAGACGGCCCUACGGGUUGUAAACCUCUUUUGUCGGGGAGCAAAACGAGUCACGUGUGACUCAUUGAGAGUACCCGAAGAAAAAGCAUCGGCUAACUCCGUGCCGGCAGCCGCGGUAAUACCGGGGAUGCGAGCGUUAUCCGGAUUUAUUGGUGUUAAAGGGUGUGAAGGGGGAGGUCCAAGUCAGCGGUAAAAUUGCGGGGUUCAACCCCGAACUGCAGUUGAAACUGCAUCCCUUGAGUGCGCGAGAGGUAUGCGGAAUGCGUGGUGUAGCGGUGAAAUGCAUAGAUAUAAGGAAGAACACCGAUUGCGAAGG
rnacentral:rRNA from 1 species